rnacentral:lncRNA from 1 species
UUUGUUGGCUGAAUCUGAAUACAUAUUUGUGCUCAAGUCCGAGUAGGACUCCGAGUUUGUUUAAGACCGAAUCCCGCGUGGUGCUGAGUUCGAGUUGGAAUCGGUUUGGAGUCUGAAUUGACAGCUGCCUUGUUGCUAUCUUGAGUCCAAAUCUGAUUUCUAUCGUUUUGGCAAAAGUUUGUGUGGUGUGUGACUCUUGUGAAGUCCUUUUGUUCAUAUAAUCAGAUUUGAGGAUCCCCUG